CCUGGCUCAGAAUCAACGCUGGCGGCGUGCCUAACACAUGCAAGUCGCACGAGAAAGUGGGGGCAACUCCAUGAGUAAAGUGGCGUACGGGUGAGUAACACGUGACUAACCUACCUCCGAGUGGGGAAUAACUCCGGGAAACCGGGGCUAAUACCGCAUAACAUCUACGGAUCAAAGCAGUAAUGCGCUUGGAGAGGGGGUCGCGGCUGAUUAGCUAGUUGGUAAGGUAAUGGCUUACCAAGGCGACGAUCAGUAUCCGGCCUGAGAGGGCGCACGGACACACUGGAACUGAAACACGGUCCAGACUCCUACGGGAGGCAGCAGUGGGGAAUUUUGCGCAAUGGGGGAAACCCUGACGCAGCAACGCCGCGUGGAGGAUGAAGGUCUUUGGAUUGUAAACUCCUUUCGAUCGGGACGAUUAUGACGGUACCGGAAGAAGAAGCACCGGCUAACUCUGUGCCAGCAGCCGCGGUAAUACAGAGGGUGCAAGCGUUGUUCGGAAUUAUUGGGCGUAAAGGGCGCGUAGGCGGUGCGGUAAGUCUCUAGUGAAAUCUCCGGGCUCAACUCGGAGCCUGCUAGGGAAACUGCCGUGCUUGAGUGUGGGAGAGGUGAGUGGAAUUCCCGGUGUAGCGGUGAAAUGCGUAGAUAUCGGGAGGAACACCUGUGGCGAAAGCGGCUCACUGGACCACAACUGACGCUGAGGCGCGAAAGCUAGGGGAGCAAACAGGAUUAGAUACCCUGGUAGUCCUAGCCCUAAACGAUGAUUGCUUGGUGUAACAGGUACCCAAUCCUGUUGUGCCGAAGCUAACGCGAUAAGCAAUCCGCCUGGGGAGUACGGUCGCAAGGCUGAAACUCAAA
rnacentral:rRNA from 1 species